AGACGGGUGAGUAACAUGUAGGUAUCUACCCUUUGGCCUGCAAUAACACGAGGAAACUUGUGCUAAUACCGGAUAAGUCUUUACGGAGAAAGCUUUAUGCACCAUUGGAUGAGCCUGCACUUGAUUAGUUUGUUGGUGGGGUAAUGGCCUACCAAGACUGUGAUCAAUAGCUGAUUUGAGAGGAUGAUCAGCCACAUUGGGACUGAGACACGGCCCAAACUCCUACGGGAGGCAGCAGUGGGGAAUCUUGCACAAUGGAGGAAACUCUGAUGCAGCGAUGCCGCGUGAGUGAAGAAGGCCCUUGGGUUGUAAAGCUCUUUCGUCGGGGAAGAAAAUGACUGUACCCGAAUAAGAAGGUCCGGCUAACUUCGUGCCAGCAGCCGCGGUAAUACGAAGGGACCUAGCGUAGUUCGGAAUUACUGGGCUUAAAGAGUUCGUAUGUGGUUGAAAAAGUUAGUGGUGAAAUCCCAGAGCUUAACUCUGGAACUGGCAUUAAAACUUUUCAGCUAGAGUAUGAGAGAGGAAAGCAGAAUGUCUAGUGUAGAGGUGAAAUUCGU
rnacentral:rRNA from 1 species